GAAAUAUUUUUGGAUGAAGUGAUGACUCUUCAAUCAUGAAACUUCGCUGGGGAGCUCGAGGACGACGCCGAGGAUCUCCAUUUCCUACUGCCGCCGCGGGUGGUGGUUGGGCCUGACGAGUCGAGUACCGGUUCGACGACGCGGACAACAAGGUGAGGGUGACGACGACGACGACGACGCGUGCCCGCCUCAGCAAGCACGCUCUCGAACGCCGGUCGUGGCCCAAGUUCGGCGGCACCGCCCGCGAGGAAGUCGGUGCCCGUCUCACCAUGGUCUCCACCGAGGAGAUCCUCCUCGAGCGGCUGCGAGCUCCGGGUUCGACACUUUCUCCUACUUUCCUCAUCUUCUCUUUAUUCCGUUUUAAUCGAAUUGGAUGCCCACUAAUUUGCAUCUCUAGGGGAGCCCUGUUCCCCCCAUGACGACAAGGAAUUCAUUUACUUUUAAUUGCGGUAAAGUUAGGUCAUGCCGUUUCCUGGAUCUACAUACAAUGCCAAUUCGCAUCUUUAGGUCUCUGCUCUGUGCCAUCUCUGGAACCUAUUUUUAUUGUUUGUUCAAGAGGUAUGGCUGAUCGAAGUAGAUUAACCAAUCUUGAUACCUUGACGUAUUCUCUACAAAAAGAUCAUCUUGGUUGCAAAAAAGAUCAUUUUGGGGAUCGGCUUUCAAGGAAUGUUGAACUAUAAAAUGAAAGGUUUUUACCGAAGGUAAGUAAUUUGUUUUUCUGAAGGCAAGAAAUUACCUGCUGUGUUGGACCCAUCCCUCUUCACCCAAUUUGUGUUAUAAGUUGAAGGAUGUUCACCGAUAGUUGUUUUCUGUUCUACAUUGUUCUUUGGUUGUUGUGCAUCAUGCCAAAUUCUUGUUACAAGAUCGUUUACUACUUUCUAAGCUUUUUCUAAGAAUGGUUUUUCAGCUUCGGAGCAUCUUGUACAUAAUUAAAUGCUUGAAAGAGCGGUACUUUCUAGAAGUUUUCUUCCAAUAAAUUCAUUUUGCAGACUACUAGAUACUUUCUGGUUUCCAUACAUUAUAUGUAAUGGUAUAGGCUUGUCUCAUGUAUAACGUUUAAAAUUUUUUACUCUUAGUUGUAUACGUUUUCUAUAAUUUACUACUUUCAUGAGAUAUAAAUCUCUGCUUUUGUUGUUUUUUUCUUUCCUUAAAAUUAUUUUUGGAUGUUUGGUCUCACACCAUUAUCUAAGCUGAAACUCCCAUUUCUACUGAAUGGCCUAAUUAUAAUAUUUCCUUAUUUUUAUUCUUUUUCUUGUUUUUAUGAUUUCAACCUCUUCUUCUCCAAUAGCUAUUUUGAUUUCUUAAUGCUAAUUUACUUACUGCAUCAAAAUCAUUUAGAGUAAAGCUGCAGUCACCAGCGGAGCUUCUGCUUCUCAGCCAUCAGCAACAUCUGUGGCUCAGCAUCCUACUCCUGAAGAGGCUCCCCCACAAGCUCCAUCACAAACUCAAUCAGAAUCUCCAGCACAACCUAUGCCAAUAUUCUUAGUUGUACUAUUAUUCUUUAUAUGCAAGCUUGUACGAUAACUGUCGCAGCUUCUUGAUUGAUACUUGAGCCUCUGCCAUCUGGCCUUUUUACAAUCUUGUUUCAGUGUAGCAGAGAAUUCAUCAAGUGCACAUGCUAGAUAUCAAGGCCCAAAUGCAGAUUAAACCUUCUGUUUAUGAUUGUUAUUUUUUUAUGUUCCCCUAUUUGUACAUACUAAUUAAAAUGCAUUGAGAAUUUCAAAGAUAGAUGUUGGCCCCCUGCAGUGUAUUUCUGUUUAGAUUAGAUCUGUUUUCUCCACCUUUUACUCUUAAUUCUCCAAGUUCUCUUAGUGCAAAGAUGGCUUAAGUAGUGUAGCUAAUAUACAACUCAGCAUCAAGCCAUGUUUGUUCCAAUUUUUGGGGUCAGUUACAUGAAUCUUGGCCUCAUUUACACGGAAAGAUGUCUUAAAGUAGUGUAGCUAUUGUUUUAUUCAGAUGACACUUUUAUCAAUUAUGCAUCUAAACUAAUUCCUAUUGUGUAUCGUGUAGUUAGGUCAUCAAGCAUUCAAAUGGGUGAAACCUUGCUGCAGACAUUUGAUAUUUGAUAUUUGGAGUCUAUGGUGUACUAUCUUGGAGAUGGCUACAUCAAAGCCACCUUGGAGUCAAUAUGAAGGGGCCGUUACUUAAACUUUGAGAGCGUGCAAAAUUUAUUUAGGGUGCUACUUUGAUAUUUCUACUAUAUUGAUGUGAAAUUCAGAAAGCAUCUUCUUUUACUAGUCUCCUUAUAUAAACUUUUUGUAUUUAAGAAACUUUCUGUAUUUAAGCUUAAUGGAUGACGAUGUGGUUAUAAAGGAUAAAA